GGCAACGUAGCUCAGUCGGUUAGAGCACCGCAUUCAUAAUGCGGGUGUCGCAGGUUCGAGUCCCGCCGUUGCUACCA
rnacentral:tRNA from 1 species